CUUCGCCUCCUCCAUCCUAUAUUUACAAGUCUCCACCUCCACCAUCUCCUUCACCACCUCCUCCAUAUGUUUAUAACUCUCCUCCUCCUCCAUCACCUUCACCACCUCCACCUUACGUCUACAAGUCACCACCCCUACCAUUACUUUCACCACCUCCACCAUAUGUUUACAAGUCCCCCUGACACCAUCUUCAUCUCCAUCACCUCCGUAUGUUUAUAAAUCCCCUCUUCCACCAUCUCCCUCACCUCUCCCUCCAUAUGUCUACAAAUCUUCAUGCUAACUCGUUGACAAGUGCACUAGUUUUUACAAGUAGUAAAAUACUCGAAAGUCUAAAUGUCGAAAUCACAUGAACUUUGUUUGUAUUUAGAUUGAUACAAACCCAAUUUGCAAGGCAGAGAUAAGAAAUUUAAAAUAAAAAUGAGAAAUAAGAUACAAAUUUAAAGAUAAAAAUAAAAGAUUGAAAAAAGAUUUAGAUUAAAAGAUGAUAAGGAUAAAGAUAAAAAAAGAUAAGAUAAGAAAAGUAAAAGAUGAAAAAAAAACAAAAGAUUAAGAUGAAGAUAAAAAAAGAUAAAUUCAGAAUGUGAUAAUGUUGUGACCUAGCCGAUCUUAUUUGUCUAAUAUGUACUAUUUUAGAUUUUUUUCUAUCAAUUUGGUGAAUUUUUUCCUACCCAAAAUUGUUAGAAUACUUGUCCCUGAUGUCUAUUUAUAUCCUAAAUGGAUUUGCAAAGACUAAUGUAUGAAGUUCUAAUUCUAGAUGUUUGUUUUGAUGCAUGAGCAUAAUGCAAUCACUUUGUCCCUGAAGAUUUUUGACGUCUGGCCUAAGUUCACUUCACCACCUCCUUAUUACUAUAAGUCACCACCACCUCCAUCACCUUCACCGCCUCCUCCAUAAUAAUAGAAAUCCCCACCUCCAUCAUCACAUUCGCCUCCUCCACCAUAUCACCCCACCUCUAUAACUCACCCUCACCUCCUGUGUAUUAUGCUUGUGGCUAGAUCAAUUUAAAUUUUUUAAUAAAUUAUGUUCAUCAUUGUUGAGUUUAAUUUAAUUAUAAUUACAAAAAUUUAUUCAGAAUAAGGUCUACUCUGAAGUAAGCCUUAUUUUGGCUGUAGUGUAGCCCAUGAGUGUGUAUUGGUGUUAACUCAAAAGUGCGUAUUAAUCUCUUUUUCAUAUAUACAUUAUAUAUUAUAUUUCCUUUUUAGUUGGUGCUGGUUUCCAUUUUCUUUGCGUUAUGAAAUUACAUGUUUCAAUUUUAUUAUCUUUUCUUCAAUGAACUAAAAGUUAAUAUUACUAUUUUUGAGCUAUACGAUUCAGUAUUAUCCAAAUAUGAUACGCUUUAUGAUCUUAUCUGUGUUAUAUUUGAAUCGCUCCCAUCCCAUUAUUCACGAUUCGGAUUUCGGAGGGAAAGUGUGAACGUAUAGGGAAGUAAUAUGCAUAUGGGCCACGAUGGCUUCACUCAGAAUUCAGAACAGUUUUCUUCCGCGCGAUUAGAAAGUCUUCACAAGUGAGCUGGCUAUCUACACAGCAUGGAGCAACCACCAAGCAAACUUUAAACAUACAGAAGAAUAAGAAUAUGUAGACUGUAGUCUCCCUAUAUGUAUGCUUCUCACUUACAAAGUCAUUAAGUAUCAUUUUAGUCAACAAUGGUCAAAUUUAUAAGGAUGAAACUUAUCUCACAAUAAUAUGCGUUCGAACUUCGAACCUCAUUGUUGAUAUGAGAAUUAUUGAUAAAUAAUCUAUAAAUAUUUUUAUAAACAAACUCAUUAAAGUAUGAUGUAUGUCCUGAUUUAAUGUAUGUUCGAAAUUCAAUUCACCUAAAUUUUUUACUAUAAAAAAACAUCACUUUAAUAAUAAAAAACUAUCGAGUAGCAAAAUGAAAGAUAACUUAAACAACCUGCCUAUGUCUAAUUAAAGUGAACAAUAUGAUAAAAGUAUUAUUUUGGCCAAUGAGAAAGGAGAAGUUAACAUGUGAAACCAAAAGAAAUUCCAACUUGCACUAAUAGCCUUAGGAAUAGUUCAUCACAAAAAAAAAAAAUAUGGAUGAUUUUCUGACCAAGCCGAAAAGAAAAAUAUAUGCAUAUAUGAGUGGAAAGAAAAAAUAUUUUAAAAGUUAGAACGCAGUGGGAGAAAAAUAUUUUAUAAUUUGUUGAGAAUAGUCUCACAUCUGAUAUUUAACAAAUUUGAUAAGUGCUUAUAUGACUGGGUAGGACCCUUUAUGAACCGAUUUUUAAGGGGACCUUUCGAAUGUCUUUAUUGCACUAUAAAUUUAAUAUAAUUUUCCUGUGUUUCAGAAAAAUUAUUUAAGAUCUUUUAACAUUUUCAGCGUGUAAAAUAUGUUUAUAUAGUUAUUUAAAGAAUGUCUGACAUAAUCAACAAAUAUUCUAAUUGACGGAGUAGUCCCUUAAGUUGAUGUCAACUAAAAACUUAAGAUAUACUCUUGGAUAGUAGUUAUUUAGCAAAGAGUAUAACCGACGUGGGAGAAAUAAUAAUUAAAGAAGAUGGAGGUGAGAUAUCGAUAAUGUUGCAAUUAAGUAAUAAUUAACUUGGUAAAAUUAAUGGGGAUAAAAAUUACUAUGACAAGUAACAGCGUAUAGAAGACAUAUAUGUUGAUUAAAAUAUAUGCCUUCUAAAUUCUAAUUAGGACGAUUAUUCUUCCCCAUUAGGCAAUACUAUUAAUUACCUUAUUUUAAGUUUUAAGUAAGAAAAAUAUCUGAAUAUAUUAAUCUACUUUUUUAUUUUCUGGUGCAUACAUACUGGUAGAUCUUUCCGUAGUUUAUGUAGGAUACUUUUGUACAUUUUUACGACUGGAAGCUUGCACCAUAUAUAAUUAAGUAACUCUUGAUCCGAAGUUUAUUGCCAGAGACGGUUAAUUUUUAUCCAGUUAUUUCAAACUUGGAAAGACAUAAAAGUAAAUGGAAGAUGCAUUGCCCCUUCCCACAUAAUUUCAUUUCGUGUUCAAACCCGUGGCACAAUAUUGCUGCUAUAUAUAUAAUUAACCCAAGCAGCGAUAGGUUGAUCUUUGAUAAAACCCUAAGGCUACCUAGUAUAGUUUUAAUUUUCUGCUAAUAUAAUUUCACGUCCCUUCCAAUUUUCUCGUUAGGCUAGAAACAUGUGAAAAUUAAAGGAAAAAUUUAACCAUUCUAUCCAUCUCAUAAUGUUAUAUAUAUAAGUGGAGCAAUUUUUGCGUUGAGGUCAUGUGCAGUUCAAUGACAAGUAUAAAUCUAUCCCAUUCUUAUUGAUCUGCGCCUAACCAAACUUCUAUGGAGAAACAACUGUAAUUAACAUCAACCCUGGAAGAUAUCAUAUGUAUCAAUAUAUACCUAUAUAGGACAAUCAAUUUCCAAUUAACAAAUAUAGUGUCAUGAAUUGAUAAUAAUGAAAUCUAGAUGUAACGUAAGGUGAAAAUUAAAGAAGUCAUGUCCGCUGAAAUUGGAAUGCACUAAUGUAAUAUGAAUUAAAUGGGCAGUAAUAGAAAAUUACAAGCAUGGUUAAUUUAAUGAAUUUGAUAAAAUUGGGAGAGAAAAAAAUAACAAAAAGGAGGUUAUCAGGUAGUUAAAGAGACUAAUCAAAUUAAAGAGAGACAUGAAUUCAACAAGCAAGCAACGACGUGCUGAUCGAAGUAUUUUUAUAGUCUUUUUGUAUCAAUCAAAUCAAAUACAAUACAUUGCACAAUACAUAUUAAAUAAUAUUUUUUUUAGGAGAAUAUUGAAUAGUAUUACACGUUCAACAUAAAAAUAAAGAAAUAAAUAACAUUACAACAUGUCUUUCCACAAUCAAUCUACAUUUCGACACCAAGAAUUUUUUAUUUACAAAAUAUUACACGAGCUUUCAAACACGCAAAAAUCCAUUUACUGCUCUAUAGCUAGCAUAAAAAAGAUUAGUUGCAGGGUGGAAUUGAUCAAAGAGUCUAUUAGAACAAACUUCUCUGGUGGCCUAAAAAAGGCAAAACGUAUACACACGUGAUAUUGAUUAAAACAAUUAACGUAGGUGUACUCGCAUAGAAAGUAAUUAUAUAUACCAUGUCAAAAAUUAAAAUUAUGAAGUCACAAGAACGAGAAUUUUCUAGAGUGUUAUCAAGAUUAUGUUAGUUUAGACUAUUGACAAGGAUGCCUUAUAACCUGAAGAAGUUUUCACCGACGACAUAAGGAUAAAAUAGCUAUAAAGAUAACUUUAUGUUUUUGUAAUCUGAAAAUAUAGCCAUUAGGAAGAAAGAACAAAAGCUAAUUAUAAAGAAAAGACAUAUUAGAGAAUUGGAGCAAGUUUUGCAUUUGACUUUUAUAAGCCGUUUCACACUUUAGGCUUGCGAUCAUGAUGGCCAGUUCUCCGUGAAAUGGCAGAGGAAAUAAUCAGAUUUGACUGCUAUGACGCGGUUUUCAAUUAUUUGUUUAUAUCAAACAAGAACUCUUCAUUCAGCCAUGCCAUCCACUACUCUCUUCUUGACUUUGUAGUUUGUACCCAGCCCGCAUCGUGGAAAAUAUGAAAUCGUUUAAUGCUAAACCACAACAUAUAUCAAGUUGAAAUAAUAUAAAUAUAUUUUCAAACUUUAAGCCACUCUGUCAUCUAACAACAAUGAUAUCUUAUCGACCAUAUGAUUGAAAGCAAACACUAUAUAAAGGAUUACAAUCCAUACUUUGCAAAGCAAUAAAUUAAUAGAUCAUAGUAAGUCUUCUAAAGAACGAUCAUACAAAAGAGCUUCAUACUAAGUGAAGAUGGGAACGAGGCAAUGGCCUCGACUGAUCCUUGCAUUGGCAUUUUGCCUAAUAGCUAUGAGUGUUGGUGCUGAUUAUAAGCCUUACUAUGGCCAACCGUCUAACUACUAUCCACGCCCCCCACCACCACCAUAUCAGCAAGUAAAUCCACCCUACUAUCACAAGUCACCUCCAUAUUAUUAUAAAUCUCCACCUCCACCCUCUCCAUCACCACCACCUCCUUAUGUCUACAAAUUCCCUCCAUACCAUUACAAGUCUCCUCCACCACCAUCUUCUUCACCUCCUCCACCCUAUGUCUAUAAAUCACCACCACCCCCACCCCCUUCACCACCUCCUCCAUAUGUUUAUAAGUCUCCCCCUCCACCUUCUCCAUCACCUCCUCCUGCCUAUGUUUACAAGUCCCCACCUCCACCUUCUCCUUCACCUCCUCCACCAUAUGUGUAUAUGUCUCCUCCUCCUCUUUCCCCUUCUCCUCUCCCACCAUAUGUUUACAAGUCUCCUCCCCCGCCAUCACCUUCACCACCUCCACCUUAUGCUUACAAGUCUCCACCACCCCCAUCACCUUCACCACCUCCACCUUAUAUUUACAAGUCACCACCCCCACCAUCUCCAUCUCCACCACCUCCAUAUAUUUAUAAGUCACCACCUCCACCGUCCCCUUCUCCUCCUCCACCUCCUUCUCCAUCCCCACCACCUCCAUCUCCAUCACCUCCUCCACCAUAUGUUUACAAGUCUCCACCACCCCCAUCACCUUCACCACCUCCACCUUAUAUUUACAAGUCACCACCUCCACCAUCUCCAUCUCCACCACCUCCAUACGUUUACAAGUCUCCACCACCACCNNNNNN
rnacentral:lncRNA from 1 species